GCAAGGUUAUGUAAGUGGUCAAAGCAGUGUGACUCAAGUUCUCAUCCUCCGGGUUCGUGGGUUCGACUCCCACAUCUUGCA
rfam:Dictyostelium fasciculatum unplaced genomic scaffold Scf_Dfasci-G-b-285a01.f1-5, whole genome shotgun sequence.